AUGUACAUAUAUAAAUGUAAACACACAACUCUCCCCCCCCUCCCCUUCCCUUCUUUUACAGGAAUUAUGAUAAACAGCUUAUAUAAUGAUAAGGCAAAAUCAAAUACAAAUAAAAAGUUAAAUUAUUGCAACCUAGCCACUAAAAAAAAAUAUAGACAAAGCACAUUUUAUUGGAUGUGUCCUGAUUUGUAUAAACAUAAAAAAAACUCACAAGAGUACAAAAUAGCCAUGAUGUUCGAUGAAGUACUAAAAACAAAAAACCAUUAUUUUGAAAACAUAAAUAGAAUUAGCGCAUUAGAAUCAAGGAACUUUAUUUUGUUAGAAAGUGUUUAUAAUCACGUUGGGUAUUUGUCAGGUGAAUUAAAGCUACCAUUACAGAUAGAUAUAUACAACAGGUACAAAAUGUUUGAUAAAAAUACUUUAAUGUCUGAAAUAGCUGAGCAGCUGGAUAAAGUUAUUGAUUUUACUAAUAGUAAUAAAAAAAAUACAAAAAUAAAUAAUACAACUUUAAGUUAUAGUUCGGAUAAAGAAGAAAAAAAAAAAAAAAAAAAAAAACAUUUUGAUGAAAUUGAAUCCUUAAAUGACUAUGCAAAUAUUCAGACGAUGGGUUUUUUUGAUUCAUUUUUUGAUAGUGUUGCAUUAAGUUAUAAACGUAGUGUUAUAAAAAAAAAAAAGUUACCUACAAAAGAUGAAAAAAGUGGUGUAACAGAUGGCGUGGUGGAUGAUGGCAGCGUGGUGGAUGGUGGCAGCGUGGUGGAUGGUGGCAGCGUGGUGGAUGGUGGUAACAUGGUGGAUGGUAACAUGGUGGAUGACAAUGGCGAGGAAGAAGAUGAUGAUGAUGAUGAUGACCAUUAUGGAGAAGAUGAAGGAGAUGGCGAAGAUAGCGAUGAUGAUUAUAGAAAUAUACCUAUUUUAUUAAACAGAAAAGAAGAAGAGAAAAAUGUUGAGGAUGGAGAAGCUGAGAAGAGUGUUCAAAAGUCAAAUGGAGAGAAGAAGGUCGAAGAUGUAUGUAUAGAAAAUUCUUUUAGUGAUAGUGAAUCACAUACUUAUUCAAAUAGAGGAGUCAGUGGAACGGGUGGAACAAAUGGUACGAGUAGUAGAAGUGGAACGAGUAGUAGAAGUGGAACGAGUAGUGAACGUGACAAAAACAAAAAUGACAAAAACAAGAAUGACAAAAACAAAAAUGACAAAAACAAGAAUGACAAAAACAAGAAUGACAAAAACAAGAAUGACAUACAUAAUAACAUGUGUGACAAGAACAGUUUGAGCACAGAAAAAACAAACCAUAGUAAAAAAAAUAAACACGACGAAACAGAAGUAACUAAAUCGAACAGUGGAAGUGGUCACGAUGUAUUUAAUAAUAAUAUAAAUUAUGAUGACAAGGUAGGAGAUAAAUCAGAAGGGCAUAGUAAUAUUAUUCGUAAUGUUAGUAGUAAACAUCAAUUUAUUGGUAAUAUCAAAUAUGUAUUGAUAAAAGAAAUUAUGAAAAAUAAUGGAUUAUUAAACGAUAUG
rnacentral:lncRNA from 1 species